GUUAAGAAAUGUAGAAACACAAUCGGGUUGGUAGUCCCGAUAAGGAUAUUAUCCUUCAGUAACCUUCCUCCUCAGGUCGUCCAUCAUUUCUAAUAGUUUU
rnacentral:ncRNA from 1 species